rnacentral:rRNA from 1 species
UACGGAGGGUGCGAGCGUUGUCCGGAAUCGCUGGGCGUAAAGGGCGCGUAGGCGGCAGGCCAAGCGUGCGGUGAAAGUCCGGGGCUCAACCCCGGAUCUGCCGUGCGGACUGGUUUGCUAGAGCACUGUAGAGGCGAGUGGAAUUCCGGGUGUAGCGGUGGAAUGCGUAGAGAUCCGGAAGAACACCGGUGGCGAAGGCGGCUCGCUGGGCAGUGGCUGACGCUGAGGCGCGACAGCGUGGGGAGCAAACAGG